rnacentral:ncRNA from 1 species
AAUAAGUUUGAUUCUUGCUUAUUUAUUAAUUUAUUAAAUGAUUUAUAUGUAAUUUUUUAAAUAUUUCAUUAUACAGUAAAUAUAAUUGUUCUAGUUAAUUAUUAUUAAUUGGCAGUAAUUUAAUUAUAAUGGAUAAAUUUUGUGCCAGCAUUCGCGGUUAUACAAUUCAUUAAAAUUAAUAUUUUAUUUUUAUUAAUUAUUUACAAUUUGAUUAGUAGUUAAUUUUAUUUAGGUGGAAUUUAUAUUAUUUAUUUUAAUCUAUAUUUAAGUUUAUUAAAUCAAGAUUUUAAACUAGGAUUAGAUACCCUAUUAUUUUUGUACCUAAUAUUUAUCGUUGAAUAUUAAUAGGUAUGUUCUAUUAAACUCAAAGAAUUUGGCGGUAAUUUAUAUCUUUUUAGAGGAACCUGUAAUUUAAUUGAUAAACCACGAUAUUUUUUACCUUUAUAUUAUUUGUAUACCUCUAUAAUUAAGAGUGUUAUUUAAAUAUAUUCUCUUUAAUUUUAUUAAUUUAUAUUAGGUCAAGGUGCAGUUUUUUAAAGGUAAUUUUGGGUUACUUUAAUAUUAAAAUUUAUAUUGGAUAUUAGCCUAUGUAGGUUAUGUUUAAAAAGGAUUUAAUAGUAAUAUUGUAUAAUUAUUCAUUUUGAAUUUAGUUUUAAUUUAUGUACAUAUCGCCCGUCACUCUCUUUAAAAUGGGAUAAGUCGUAACAAAGUAGGUGUACCGGAAGGUGUAGCUAGAAAGU